CCAGUGCUCGAAGCUGCUGUCGGGCGGCAGGCAGCCGCCCCCCGCCGGGCCGCCCGCCGGCGAGGGGUGGCUGAACAGUUUCCAGCGGAGGCGCAGGAUGUGCUUCACGUCGAAGUCUUUCCUGCCGGAGCCGGACAUGCGCCUCUCACCAAGCUGCCCCCUCCCCUGCAUGUGACGCAGAUGUGCACUAGGGCCUUCAGUGCGAAGAGACAGAGGGGAAGAAGAUGCUUCAGUCUUCCUCGCGCAACACGUCCGAUACAUGCCAGUGAGGCAAAGGACAUAUUCCAGAUUAUUGUAUGGCAAGAUGAACACAGAUGUCUUUUAAAUCUCGGAUUAAACUUCUGGUACACAAAAUGAUUAAUUGUAUAGACUCUGUAGAGUUACUGUAAAUUGUAAACCUGCUCCUCCAUCCAGAAGAAAAGAAAAGGGUUUCUAUUGGAAUUGUAGGAACAUUCCUCACUGGAUUUACAAUAAAAUAAUCAGUUAUUGAAGUCAGAUAUGCCUUAGACUAGUCAUAAGGGGUUUUUUUUUGGGGGGGGGGGGAGGUACGAAUGUGAAAUGAUAUGAAAAUAUACCAUCUCUCUCGGUUGCUGAAGGGAAAUAUUUGAUGCCUUACAAUUUUAAUAAACUGUUCAAGAGCCAUUCAUCCUUACCAAAUAGAGCGACCCAUAAAAUGUGGCUAAGAUCAUAGUGAAUAUGGGUAAUCUGCCAGGUACCAUGUCUGUUGGUUGCACAUUUGAACAUAGUGUAUUGCAUUGUAUUUUUGUUUAUUGAACAGCAUGUUUCUGAACUAGCUCGUUUCUUGUAGUUUCUCCAGAUUAUUCAUAACUGCACAAAUCUUGAAUAACUUCCCAGAUUUUGCUUGAAAGUGCUUGUGCUUCUUUUCUCUUUAUGUAUUAGUUAGACAGACAGAUGAAAAUGGUUGAUCUUCAGGUCAGAUUCCUGACACUUUUUCUUUGUAUUUUUUAUCUUUCUAAUGCUCUGCAAAUGAAUUAAAUUCACAUAGUCAUGUGAAUGACUAAAGAAGUCUCAUGCUCCUGCUUGUAGGAAAAUAUGCUUAGGGAUAUAUAUCCUUUUAAUAAAUCCUCCAAGUAGUUGAAAGCACUCCCAAAAAAAAGGAUCCUGUGGCAAGCCUCCAACCUGGUCAGAUUUGAUUAACCUUUUCUCUCUCUCUCUUUUUUUUUUUUCUUUUCUUCUGGAACUUCUUUCCAUUGAAAAGCUCCUUGAUGGGGAAUUGUUAAAUUUCAGGUUUCAGAUGUUUCACGUUAAGCUGUUUAUAUGUUGUACCCUGUACCUCAAGGAGUAUUGGUAGAUAAGGAAUAAAGAUAAGUUGUAGUUGCAGAUUCUCAAAAUAGACUCUGAGGAAGGAAUCAUCAUACAAAAUGAUGUGCUAACAGUGCUGCACACCCUUAAAUCCUUCAGGUUAUGAAUAGUCAUAUUCUAUGUGAGAUUUCACAUUACAUUAAGUCCAGGGACAUAUAGCAAGUGAGCCUGAAGGUGAUAAGCAUACACAUUACUGUGGACCGAUCUUUAUUAAUAAGGGAAAGAAUAUACCUCUCGGCAAGCUAAAAGUGGUAUUUUUGUCAUUGAAUUUCAGUGUGGACUAUUGUGUAUCUUUAAUAGAGAAGACACUAAAUCUCCUUGCUGAACAAAAGCAAAAAAAGAAAGACAAGACAUCACUGUGUUGGUUAUAAUAAGGACAAUAGUAGAAGGAAUGGUUUUAAAACAAGUCUCACAUAAAUAAAAACAUGCACUUCAGUUAUAAAGAAGCUGAUUUUGUAGAUGGUUAAUUAUACAUUCAGAAGGAAGAAUCUGAGGGUGUUGAAAAGAUCCUGUGAAACAGAUCUAGAGAAGACUCAAGCUACAGAGAAUAUAGAUAGAAAUUGAUGGGACUGGACAUAGCACUGAGAGAUUAAAAGUUACUGAAAAAAUGGUGGUAUAGUAAGUAAUCAGUAAAUAAUGUAUUAGAUUUAUUCUUUAAACUUUUGCCACAUGUAAAGCAUUUGAACAAGCUUCAUGAAAUGUGGAGAUAUGUAAAAUGUGAAAGACUAGGGAAAGGUGGUAAUAUUGGGAAUCUAAACAUUAAACCAUGUAAGAAAUUAAUCUCAUAACUAUUUUAUACUUAAUCUAUACAUAUAAUGCUGUGGAGUUGCUGUGGGUCAAGAAGGGGGACUUCAAGCUGUUGAGCUAUUUUUCCUUCUGAAAUAUACAAAUGCAUACAGAUUUGUCUAAAUAACAGCAAGAUAACCAUGAUUAUUAAUGAUAAUUAUUUUCUCAUGACAAGAAAGGAAUAGUAAUAAUAAAAAAAAAGUACACGAGAAUUGAAUCACAUGUCAACUCCUGUAUUUGUUUUUUUGUGGUGAGUUUUCAGCUGAGUUUUCGCUUUUGAGAAUGGAUUUGCUAUUGCAUAAGUUGAGGUUAAGUAAUUUCUCAAAAAUUAAUGUAAGUUAUCACAGCAUAGGAUAGAUGUCUGUAGGCGUGGUCACAUGACCAGUUAUAUUUAUUGUAGAGGGUAAUAAAAGAUUACUUCUCCAUAGUUGUUAUUUUCUGCCUUCUUAGUAAUGCUGAAUAAAAUAAGGAUAUAUAAA